GAAUGUUACGGCUCUUUUAGAAUUUGUCUAGCAGGUUUUCUGAUUUUUACCGGAAACCACCAGU